UGAGGAAUAUUGGUCAAUGGGUGCAAGCCUGAACCAGCCAUCCCGCGUGAAGGACGACUGCCCUAUGGGUUGUAAACUUCUUUUGUAUAGGGAUAAACCUACCCUCGUGAGGGUAGCUGAAGGUACUAUACGAAUAAGCACCGGCUAACUCCGUGCCAGCAGCCGCGGUAAUACGGAGGGUGCAAGCGUUAUCCGGAUUUAUUGGGUUUAAAGGGUCCGUAGGCGGACUUAUAAGUCAGUGGUGAAAGCCUGUCGCUUAACGAUAGAACUGCCAUUGAUACUGUAAGUCUUGAGUAUAUUUGAGGUAGCUGGAAUAAGUAGUGUCGCGGUGAAAUGCAUAGAUAUUACUUAGAACACCAAUUGCGAAGGCAGGUUACCAAGAUAUAACUGACGCUGAGGGACGAAAGCGUGGGGAGCGAACA
rnacentral:rRNA from 1 species